CGGGGCGUAGCGCAGCCUGGUAGCGCAUCUGCUUUGGGAGCAGAGGGUCGGGGGUUCAAAUCCCUCCGCCCCGA
rnacentral:tRNA from 1 species